GACGAACGCUGGCGGCGUGCCUAAUACAUGCAAGUAGAACGCUGAAGGAGGAGCUUGCUUCUCUGGAUGAGUUGCGAACGGGUGAGUAACGCGUAGGUAACCUGCCUGGUAGCGGGGGAUAACUAUUGGAAACGAUAGCUAAUACCGCAUAAGAGUGGAUGUUGCAUGACAUUUGCUUAAAAGGUGCACUUGCAUCACUACCAGAUGGACCUGCGUUGUAUUAGCUAGUUGGUGGGGUAACGGCUCACCAAGGCGACGAUACAUAGCCGACCUGAGAGGGUGAUCGGCCACACUGGGACUGAGACACGGCCCAGACUCCUACGGGAGGCAGCAGUAGGGAAUCUUCGGCAAUGGACGGAAGUCUGACCGAGCAACGCCGCGUGAGUGAAGAAGGUUUUCGGAUCGUAAAGCUCUGUUGUAAGAGAAGAACGAGUGUGAGAGUGGAAAGUUCACACUGUGACGUAUCUACCAGAAAGGACG
rnacentral:rRNA from 1 species